UCAGAUGAAGAACAAACAAAAAUUAAAUGAAAUCUCUAUUCAUAAAAUCUCUGCUACACAGUAAAACAGAACUAUUUACAUUUUUUAAAAUCAAAACUUGUUUCUUGGUUUGUUUUUAUGGGUUGUUGAUUUUUUUUUAAUGGAAAACAACAGAAUAAAACAUAAUACAGGAUAAAUCACGUUUCACUAUAUGCGUAAUGUGCGCUUGCUCCAAUGGUAAAGUGCUCAGGAUGUAGGAACAUGUCUUUACGUAACUCAGUAAACUUCAGAUAACUAUCUUGACAUAUUAUUUACUCUCUGAAGGUCGCGUCCAUGUUUCAGUAGAUUUCUAAAUGCUCAGGGGGCGCAAUAGGUCCUUCAUGACGUUUGUAAAUCGGCGAUACGCCAUUUUGCAACAGUCAUUGGUUCAGCUCUUUGCGCACAGUUCACCACCCAAUAACACAACUUGUGAUUGGACGAGAGAGAGCCAACAUGGCAGCCAGCGAUCUCGUUCAACCAAAACAUUGCUGCUCAGCCAUUAAGGAAAGCGACAGGGAGAGAAGCGAGCGAGAGAACCACAAACACACACCAGGAGAGGGCUUUGUGGAAGUUACCAUACUACACUCCAUGGAUGACCCUGAUGAAGACCACAAGCUGAAACGCGUCAGUCAACUAAUAAAGUUGUUCCUCAUACUACAAGUGUUGCGGGAGUUCUCAUCUUUCCACUCUUUAUUGCUUCCCUGAGCUUCUCUCACAGACAGACCUGAACAUUGGUUAAACAAUGGUGCCUCCCCCUGGUCAAAUGAGUUGCAUUAUGAGCCAAUUUUAACCAGCAAGUAGGAUAAAACCUCUGAUUUGCACACCUCAUAUAUGUGACUGAUCUACUUUGUACCUUUUCUUACUGUCAGGUAGGUGAUCUUGACCAAAACCAACAUGUCACACCACUGCACACCCGCAUGUUGCCUCCAUGCUUUGACCUGCAUAUUGUGUUAGAUGCUAUUAUAAGUAAAUGAAGCAGGUGUCUACUUGAUUUAUACAGUUUUCGGUUAUAAAACUGAAGGAAGGCCGUCCAUAUGAGUCAAAUCAAGUAGAUAUCUUUCAAUGUUACAGUCUUUUCA